rnacentral:rRNA from 1 species
GCUGCAUGGCUGUCGUCAGCUCGUGUCGUGAGAUGUUGGGUUAAGUCCCGCAACGAGCGNAACCCUCGCCUCCAGUUGCCAUCAUUCAGUUGGGCACUCUGGAGGGACUGCCGGUGAUAAGCCGAGAGGAAGGUGGGGAUGACGUCAAGUCCUCAUGGCCCUUACGGGCUGGGCUACACACGUGCUACAAUGGCGGUGACAGUGGGCAGCGACCUCGCGAGGGGGAGCUAAUCCCAAAAAGCCGUCUCAGUUCGGAUUGUACUCUGCAACUCGAGUGCAUGAAGUUGGAAUCGCUAGUAAUCGUGGAUCAGCAUGCCACGGUGAAUACGUUCCCGGGCCUUGUACACACCGCCCGUCACACCAUGGGAGUUGGGUUUACCCGAAGACGGUGCGCUAACCCGCAAGGGAGGCAGCCGGCCACGGUAGGCUCAGCGACUGGGGUGAAGUCGUAACAAGGUAGCCGUAGGGGAACCUGCGGCU